rnacentral:rRNA from 1 species
UACGUAGGUGGCGAGCGUUGUCCGGAUUUACUGGGCGUAAAGGGCGUGCAGGCGGUUUGUUAAGUGCAGGGUGAAAGCUCCCGGCUCAACUGGGAGAGGUCCUUGCAUACUGGCGAACUCGAGGGAGGCAGAGGAAAGUGGAAUUCCCGGUGUAGUGGUGAUAUGCGUAGAUAUCAGGAGGAACACCGAUGGCGAAGGCAGGUCUCUGGGCCACUACUGACGCUGAGAAGCGAAAGCAUGGGGAGCGAACAGG